GAUGAACGCUAGCGGCAGGCCUAAUACAUGCAAGUCGAGGGGUAGUGGUUGCUUGCAGCCAUGAGACCGGCGCACGGGUGCGUAACGCGUAUGCAACCUACCUUCAUCUGGGGGAUAGCCCGGAGAAAUCCGGAUUAAUACCGCAUAAAAUCACAGUACGGCAUCGUACAAUGAUCAAACAUUUAUGGGAUGGAGAUGGGCAUGCGUGUCAUUAGUUAGUUGGCGGGGUAACGGCCCACCAAGACCGCGAUGACUAGGGGAUCUGGGAGGAUGACCCCCCACACUGGUACUGAGACACGGACCAGACUCCUACGGAGGGCAGCAGUAAGGAAUAUUGGUCAAUGGGCGCAAGCCUGAACCAGCCAUGCCGCGUGCAGGAAGACGGCCCUCUGGGUUGUAAACUGCUUUUAUUCGGGAAUAAACCUGCUUACGUGUAAGUAGCUGAAUGUACCGAAGGAAUAAGGAUCGGCUAACUCCGUGCCAGCCGCCGCGGUAAGAC
rnacentral:rRNA from 1 species